GCACGCGCAAACAUGAAUUCAAAUACGUGUGCAACAUGGGUCUAUUGUAAAAAACAAAAACAAUGCAACGUGUUUGGUAAGAUAAUAAGUAAUAACUAUUAGUUACAGUGUGGACGUCAUCUUUAUUAUGUUUUCUAAUUCCUGUCAUGCCCGCUAAGUGUUGUGCUCCAGGGUGUAGAACGGGAUAUGACGACGACCCACAACAGCCUGGUGUUACGAUCCAUCUAUGGGCAAACAAGGAAAGAAACCCUGGACUUGAUACCGCCUGGCUGAGAGCAAUUCCAAGAGAAACAUAUCUGAAGAAGACAGAUUAGGCACUUUCCGAAAAUAAAAAGCUGUGUUCCCUGCAUUUCAACGACUUUGAUUUUAUCUGUGAGUCUAAAAGAAGUCAGACCCUUGGGAAGGCUCUAAAGAAGAGGUACCUCAAACCAGAUGUAGUACCAUCCCUAUGACCAAACUGCCUCAACUGCAUCUCAACUCCUAAAGCACCAUCAAAGCUAACUCAAGCUCUGACCACGUCACGUAGGGCUCAAAUGUUCAAUGACCUACAACAGCAUCUGGAAUUUGAACUCUUGAUGGAGGAGACGGACCUCUUUGUGGAAGAACUUUGUGACAAAUUGGCCAAGGAGACACUCCCAUUGCCCUUUUGAAGCUAUCCCAUGAUGAGAAAUUGGGGCCCCAAGUAGUAGCCACUUUGAUACAGAUGUAUCAUUCCAAAUGUACCACUCUGGUGGGUUGAUUGACAAAAAGGCAGUGUCACGCAUUACCUUAGAAGGUAAGGUCAAAACUGUGAUUCAAGCCAUCUAUUUGGCUUCCUUUCUGGGAACAAAAGAAGAAUUGAAUCAAACAAAGACAUAGGAAGACAUUCUCAACGAGUUUUUGAAGUUUCUCAACUCCUCAGAGACACCUGGAGUUGGCUACAAACAGGGAGAUGAGCUUCAGGAACCAAUCUUUGUGAAAAACAAACUUGGCCUCUCCUUCUUGAGCGAUUUUUCGACUUUCUCAUCGAUUGGCAAAACAGUAAAGCACCUGGCCUCACAGAAAAAAAACUUUCCUAGCAACAAGGCAGACGUGCCUUGCCGCAGCAGAUCUGGUAGAGUAUCUUCUCCUAGAUGAAGACUUCUCCUAUGUACUCCUCGGCACGUUCCAGUCUGAUCCCAUCGAGAGAAGGUUCGGCUGGUACAAACAACUAAGUGGAGGUAUCUACUACAUCAGCCUGAGACAGAUUCUGGAAGCAGAGAAAAAGAUUCGUAUUCUGAGGCAUGUCAAAUUCUCAGGUAUGACUACUUCAGAAAUUAACGCUCUGCUGGAUGAAGACCUGGUAAAAGCUGAGCUCAUUUUGACUAACUGGCAACCAGAUGACCUCCAGGAACUAGGUUCCAAGGGAGAGGGUAAUGCUCCCAACUUUGUUGCCGGGUAAUUUGGUUUUUCUUUGAAGAAGAAGAUCAGCUGUGCACCAGGCCACGAGUUAAUGGUCAUCAGAGACACGCCUCCGGACUCAAUAACCUUCGAUAGCCCACCAAUCAGCAUGUAUGCCUGAAAGAGUUCUUCGACAUAAUGUCAUGGGUAAAAACUUAAGGGCAAAACAGAAUGACGACAUCCCAUUAUUAACAAAAAAGAGAAUGGCAGCUAAGAAUUCAGAAGGUAAUAGAAAAAAAAAGCUAAAUUUCAAUCAAAAUCUUCUGACUUGUAGAC
rnacentral:lncRNA from 1 species